rnacentral:rRNA from 1 species
UACAGAGGUCUCAAGCGUUGUUCGGAAUUACUGGGCGUAAAGGGCGCGUAGGUGGCCUUCUUAGUCAGACGUGAAAUCCCCAGGCUUAACCUGGGAACUGCGUCUGAUACUGGAAGGCUCGAGUUCGGGAGAGGAAUGUGGAAUUCCAGGUGUAGCGGUGAAAUGCGUAGAUAUCUGGAGGAACACCGGUGGCGAAGGCGGCAUUCUGGACCGAAACUGACGCUGAGGCGCGAAAGCCAGGGGAGCAAACGGG